GCGUUGCCCUAAUGCUCCAGUCCAGCCUCUGAGGCUUGGGGCAUGGGUGAGUGGCAGGGGCUCUCCACCCUUUGCCAUGCCUCCCAUGAACACCCCGGUGGGGGCUUCUGUCCAAGUGCACCCGCUGUGGUUAGCCGUCCUGUUGGGCAAAGAUGGGAUCCGUGCCCUGGGAGAUCACAGAGCUCCUGCAGGCAGAAGCCAGGGAUCAGUCAGUAUCUCAUUGUUUGCACCAGGGUGCCCCCUCUCCCCUUCCUAGUAAGCCCAUGGUCCCGGCCACACUCUCUUGUGAUGGAGGCAGGCCCAUACCCAUGCCGGCAAUUGAGUAGGGGCCAGCCCUGGAGUAGAACCGCAGCGGAGAACAGGCCAGUCUCAGUGCACAGUCACGCCAAGGCCGGUAGCUCUGCGGUGUCUGACUUGGAUGCUUUCUCCCCUGCCUGUUCCCUGCAAUAGGGACCCUGCCCUGGGCACACCCCAGGCAGCCAGAAGGCAGCUGCAGGCCUCAGCAGUAAUUUACUUCCACGAGCUAAUGGCCAUAAAAGGCCCUAAUGGAGGGGCUGAGCCUGAAUGUUUGAUGAGGCUGGGCUGCUGCUCCCAGGCCAGCCCUGUUAAAGGGACAGGCCUCUUCUGCCAGGAACAGCUGGGAGCUGCCCUGAGUGUGUGUGUGUGUGUGGGUGGGGGAAUCAUGGACAUUAGGGCAGGAAAAUCCCUGCCAAGCCCCAUCCAGCCCCACCCUCAUGGGGACUGGAGCAGGAUGGCCUCGUCCAGCUAGGUUUUAAAUCUCCCAGGCCGUGGGGCUCCCCGAGCUCCCCUUGGGCCACUACUCUGCAGCCUCCGCUCCUGGCACCGGGAGUGGCAUCCUGAUCGCCCAGCUGAGUUUCCCCACCCUGGUCUUGCCACAGGGCUGACGCCCUUUCCAGGCCCGGUGGGUGGUUUCCUUGCUCCCACUUGCAGAGAAAGCAGGAAGGAGGGAGAGGAAAAGCAAAAGGGAAGAGGGAAAGACGCUGGCACAAUUAGCCCUGAAACGGCUCAGCCACAGAGUGCUCCUGCGCCCGCGCGGAGGGCCAGGGAGAUUAACUGUGCCACUCCCUCAUCCCCAACUACACUUGCUUAAAUACACGGGCAAUCUGUACUCCCUCCCCCAGGGGCAAAGCUGCCUCUUUAUACUGGAAAUGGCUCCCUGACGUCUCUCUGGGCUCUACAGCGGGGUCCAGCCCAGGGGCUGCCAGGGGCGAGGGCAACUGGCGUGGGGGCACACGGCAGCCGGAAUCGCUGCCGCAGCUCAGGUCACCCUGGCUGCCCGGCGGCUCCUUUAUCCAGGCCCAAAGAACCUCUCCAGCAGACAAAGGCAUUUUACGAGCGCCCUGGCCCCAGCUGGUGACAUUUACUACCUCCACAUUCCCAUGGGAUUCAAAGGGCACAGAUGCAUCAUGGGACUGCCUUGCCCAGCCCCCUCGCCCCUGCGGAGUGUCGGGCAAGGGAAGCAGUAGGGCAGAGAGCGCAGGCCUUCCUCAUGGGCUGCCCACCGGGUACCAGCCUAAGUCCCACCCCACAGCCCUCACCCUCGAACCUGCCUCCUUUCUCUGCCUCGUCCUUACUGCUCUUUACCCCAUCUCUUCGCAGGCCCUCACCCCAACUGCCCCCCCCUUUGGGGGGAUCCCCCCGAAUCCCUUCCCAGACGGUUCGCAUGACACAGUGAGCACUGGGCAGAGCUGGGCAAAGCCGGUGGAAACCCAUCUGGGAAGGAAGGAGAUGGGGAUCUGCAGGAUGUGGGUGCUGCCCCCACAGUGGCAGGGGAGGGGCCUGAGGCAGUUAGCAUUCCGGAACGGUGGGAGAUGCCCAUCUGCUCUUUGAAGCGGGUGCCCCUUUGAGGAACGAUGCCAAGAGGAACUGUUACGGCCCCGUCAGGCCAGCCUCACCUUUGCCUUGGGCUCCGUGAAGUGCCUUACGCUGCAGUUAGCGUCUGAUAUACAAAAUGACCUAUAUCCAAUGGAUGCUCGAGAGCUCUCAGCAUACACAUGUUCUCUUCGGCCUCUCAGACGUCCCAGGGGUCCCUUGAGACCCCAUGCAAACAGCUGAGUCCCUCUGAAUGGGCCACUGCCUCUGAAGGAAACAGAAAACGCCCUCUGUGCACAUGCUGCCGGAGACCAUGAGUCACAGCUAUAGAGAGCAAUGGAUCCGUGUAUCUGGGGAAUUUCUAACAGCAGAUACACACCGCUUGGGUUUCCUAGACAUGCAAAAGUCCAGAGACCCCCUGGCUCUGCCUCUGAUGGUGACUCAGUAGGAGGCGCUCUCUGAGUCAGUCCUUUACCCUGGGCCCCAUUCGUGGGUGCAGAGCUGUUGGAUGUGCCAUAUUUCAGCCAAGAUGUGAGCCCAAACUCCAGGCCAUUUUUGGCCACAAAGGAUCCUCAAAUAAUAGUCAGGGCAUUUACCCUGGUGGCUGGGUUAAAUUCCAACUCAGGUAAUUACAUGCUGCUUCCCUAAUUCCCCCUACAGUGCUGAUUAGAUAUAGUCUUCUUUCCCCAUUCCAAACGGCUGCUGUGUUGCUGUUAAGCAACUGCCAUGUUUCACCCCAGAGGUGGCUGCAUUUCAAUGGUGGGUGGAGUGACACCUGUACAUAGGACUUUUUAAAUCAUUUUUGCCACUGCAAGUCACCACGUAAUUGUCAGCUAUUGUUAUUUUUUGGUUUGCUGUGGGCAGUGGAGGUCUGGCCGGGCUCCAGCGACUGCAGUGGAUCCCAUCUGGCGUCGCAUCUUGUCUGGUGGGCAGUGCCGGGUGAGCAGGCUGCCUUUAAAAUCCAGGCUUUCUAUUGCCAAAUACCUGCUUGUUCAGCUGUCUGUAUGUAGAGCAACAGUGCUAUCUAGUGGUUAGUUUUACUUAAUAAAUAAGAAAGAACACUAACCUUUAACUUCUUCCAAGCCCUUUGAAAACACUAAUGAGCUGAGCCUGACAACCUACCUGGGAGGAGAUGAGAGUGUCUGAUUAUCCCCAUUUUUCAGAGGGGAAACUGAGGCAGAGAGAGGAGCCAUGCAGAGUUGGGAUUAGAAGUCAGGCGCUCCAGGCUGUCAGCCUUGUGUUCAUUCUUCUAGUCUUACUCAGAGAUUCAGCAACAUCUUGGAGUUCAAACCACUGGAAAAGAAACCUUGGGCUUUCCAGAUAGAUAGAUAAUGAAUUGAUUGCUAGUGCCUGUAGUGAUUUUGGGUUGAGGACUGAUGCUAAUUAGUAUGAGAAGCACAACACUUACUUUUCCUUUGUCACAUAGGGCCUUGUCUACACUGACGAAAAGGCAUCCUGUUAGCAAACGGGUUAAGUAACACCUUUUAAUUAGCAUGAUGUUAAACACAACUUGACUCUUAGUGGACUCAUCUUUAAUAGGAAGAAAGGUGUGUGGUUUUAGCUGAUGUAUUAAAAUCCUAGUGUAGAUGGGGCAAUUUGGAUUAUAAUACAGCUCUAGCAAGGAGCAUAGGGUUUACUGUGAUCAGCUAACAAGUGUUAAAACUACAUCUUGCCUUGCUGAUGCUAGAAUUUUAAUGUGUGUUAAAAACACAAUUUUUGCCUUGUGUAAACAUGGCCCAUGUGGGCAAAGACGGUUGUGUUUAAAAAUACAUUAGCUGGUCAUUGAUACUGUCCUUGUCCAAAUGAAGGGCUUAACAUCAUGUUAGUUAGCACAUUUUUCAACAUGAUGCAUUCUCCUCAGUCCUGAGCCAGGAUUUGAACCUGCUGCUCUAGAGGUUACAGGUUCACCUGCGCCUGGAUGCUACGAGUGGAAUUGUUAGCAUAUGUAGUCCUUUGCCUGCACUGGACGUGCUGGGUUGGAGAGGUCAGUAGUGAAGAGGUUAAUCACUAAAGCUUCAUCUUGAUUAUUUUCUAAGGCUUAACUUCCAGGCCUCUGCCUCCCCUUAUGCGUAUCCUUUCCCUUGGGAAGCUGCUGGCCUCCUCCCUGUUGGGGAGCUGGGCCUGUUGGUCAUUCACUUCUGCCCAGCCCCUGUUGUUAUUGCAGUCAGGUCUGACUGCCCCUCCCCAGAAAUGACACAGAGUGGACUAGGGCUCAGGCCAUUGCCUUUAAAAGGUUAAAGGAGGAGGAGCUUUUACCAAACUCCUCCCCCCAAAGUCUCCAGCAGGAUGCCAAGGGACAGUGUGCCCAGCCAAUGACAUGGCUAGCUUGAAGCAUUACAUCAUCACGAGACACUCUCACUGGCUGAUCGUAGGCUGAGGGCAGGGCACUGAUCUUAGCAGCUGCUAAACUAUGUUUAAUAUGUUUCAUAUUAACCCUUUCCUGGGGAGCCCUGCCGCAGAGAACUCCCCAUGGAGCCCCUGAUGUAGUUUAUACAAUCGUUUUCCUGGCUGUUAGAGCACUGUGGGAGGUGAUGGGAAGGUACAGGUGGAAAUUCAGCUACAGCCCACGGGCCCGUCUCCUCAGACGUGUACAAAACGGGGAGCUGGCCUGUCACCCAUGACAUGCCAUGGCCUCCUUUGUUACUUCAUCUCACUGCUGGGCUGCGUGUGGGGCUGUGCAAAGCCCCAGCGGCUGGUAGAGCCUCCUUCUGUGAGUGUGCAGAUGGCAUUAUUAUUGUGCGAACAAAGGCAGGAGGGGUUCCCAUCCGCCUGUUCUGGCAGCGCGAAGCCAGCUUCUGGCAGCUGGAUAGCAGGGUAACUAGAGGGCAAGCUGUUCCACCAGAACCCCGUCAGCGUCCGGCUACAGGCGGUUCCACUGGAAGUGGGUCAGCAUCCAGCUCCAGAUGGUUCUUCCACAACCUGUUCGAGUGGAGCCAGGUUGGAUCCAGCUAGGGACUGUCCCUCCAGAACCUGUUCCAAUAGAAUCGCGUCCGCAUGUAGCAAUGGCCUCAUGGUUAGGAGAUCAUCAUGAACUUGGCAUCUUUCAGAGGGUAAUGGCUGCCAGUUAGAUCAGAAGCCACUCCACUGGAGGGCAAGGGGGUAUGGUGCAGCCUGGCUGAAGGAGGCGCAUGGUAUUUGACGACAUGCUCUCACACAGUAAGGUCCAUCAAUGGCUGUUAGCCAGGGUGGGCAGGGAUGGUGUCCCUAGCCUCUGUUUGCCAGAAGCUGGAAAUGGGCAACAGGGGAUGGAUCACUUGAUGAUGACCUGUUCUGUUCAUUCCCUCUGGGGCACCCGGCAUUGGCUGCUGUUGGAAAACAGGAUACUGGGCUAGAUGGACCUUUGGUCUGGCCCAGUGUGGCCUUUCGUAGGUAAGACAGUGUGACCCCUGGGGGGUCCUGUGUCCCAUCUUGGUCUGAGAGGUGGCAUGCUGGGAUCCAUCGUCUCUCUGGACUGCACCUCUACAGAGAAAUAAGGGCAGCUGCAAUCUGCCCUGUUUUGUACAAAUCAGGGCGCUGCCACCCGUCUGUCCUCUGGCAAGCUGCUCAUAUAGCCCCUUGUCUGGGCAAAUUUUGGGCAGGCCUGCUUUAGAUGCUGGCAGCCAUCCUGGCUCUAUCACAGAUGGAUUUUGCCCACCCCCCGAGCUGAAGUCUGCGCCUGCUGGAUUGUAUGCAAUACCUAGCGUGGCUAUUUAUAUUUUUAGCUUCCUAUUAUAAGGGCUGACAUGGGCCAGAGGGAGUGUGCUCUCAUGGUUAGAGCAGGGGACUGGGAGUCAGGACCCCUGGCUUCUAUCCUUGGCUCUGGCAUCAACUCACUGGGUGAGUCCCUGCCCUGCUCUGUGCCCCAAUGUACCCAUCCAUGUAAUGGAGAUAUUGAUGCACACUCCCCUCCCAGGGGAGUUGUGAAACAAUCCAAGAAUAUAUAUAGCACUCUGAGCUUCUCCGAUAUCAGACACUACGGAGGGGUAACAAAUUACUGUUAUCUGAGCACUCCCCUGAGACCUGCUCUGGGGGGAGGAAGGAGCAGGUCCUGAACCCUGUUAAAGAGAAGCACAAAUGAAGACAGCUCUUCAGUGCUCACUCACUUUCAGUCCAUCCUGCCUGAGCUCCUAUAACACGCCAAGGUAAAGCUCCCAGUUUCCAGAGGAAACCAGGGUAGGGCCUGGAACCAUCCUGUGCUGGUGUAUUGGCUACACUGGCGGCACUGAAUUCCUGGAUCUCCCAUGGGGCGGGGUAUAUGUACAUGGGGUCCUGUUACUCUACGUGAGAAAGUGCAAAUUAUCUGUAAUAGUUGUAUGAAGCCUAGGUGUGCCUCAGUUUCCCCAUGUCUGUUGCAUUGCUCCCCAGUGGGUGCAGAAGGGUUAACACCGCAUCUGGAACAGUGCAGGAGACAGGAAGUGUGCCUGUGUCACCUAGCUCCGGGUAGAAUGAAUAGAGUCAUUCAAGAAUUGGCUGAAACUGACCCAAAUCAGCAGAGAGUCAACCAAGACAAAGAGAGCCCCAGGGACUGACCAACCAACACCCAACAGAGGAAGCUCCAGCAGAAUGAAAGUUGGCGAAAUGGCCACGAUUCUGCAACAUAUUUCGAUGUUGACGGAGCUGCACUUGCUGAUAGUAAAUGGUUCAGUCACAGUUUUCCUGCCCAGCUCGAAUGGUCGUGGUGAACCAGCAUGUGCAGAACCAAGAGAGAACGCCAGCCGAUCUAAACAGAGAGGCAUGAGUUACCCUCUCAAGCUGACAGCUGGGGGUCGCAGAAGCGCUGGAGUCUGAGAUCCGGAUGCCGCUGGGAACCCCUGGAGAGCCCCAGCGAAGGUGUCUGAUAGUGAAUGCCAGCCACUAAGUGCACGUGGCUUAACUGCAUAUAAUCCAUUUAACAGCACAAGUCACCUGGGGCCUUGAUCUGUCCUCAUUAGAUUAAGGGGGCAUCCAUCUAGCUUAACGUCAUAGCAGCUAACUGCAGCAUUUGGGGAUCUGCAGGCCAAGUGGGGUACACACGGUGACUUCAGCAGUAUCAUCGCUCUGGCUAAUGCUUUGCACCUUCGGGCCUGGGAUCUCAAAGCGCUCUGUGGAGAUUCGGUAAUGAAACCUCACACACCGUCCCUUUGAAAUAGGGAAAGGUUUGACAGGGAACACCCCCCUUCCACUGAAAUGCAGCCACUUCUGGGGUGGAGUAGGGGCAGGAAGGCUUCAAAGGGUAAAGCUACACUACCUACCAGUGCAGGACAGGAAGUGAAGAAGGAUCCUGUAUCCGGUGGGAAGUGCGGGGUGAGUUUAGGUAGGCAGAACAAAGCAUCCUGCACUGGAGGUUGGUCAGGAUGCGGGAGCUUACGGGCCGCCUCUGACCAAAACACCCAUGGGUGGGACCCUGAAUGGUCUCAAACAUACAGGACCUUUCCAGCUCACCCAGAUGACAGCGAUUCCAGUAGUGCAGCAUUCCCAGACCACCCUGGGAAAAUGGGGUCAGCGGCCACUCAGAAGGGAGAGCGCCUCCUAUCGAGUCGUGUAUAUUGCACCCUGCAGCCCGGCGCCCUGUAGCACAGCUCUGCGACACUGGGGUCAGCACUGACUUAGAGGGGAGAGCGCCCCCUACUGAGUCACACUACUUCCUCCAGCACAGCACCCCCAGCAACACAGGGAGGUUAGGUGCUGUCUAGGAGAGAAGAGCGCCCCCAACUGAAUCACACAUUUCCUGCCACACCCUGGCGUUUUCCUUGGGGGUGGCCCAGGAGUCUAAUACUCCCCUGAGUGGUUAGCUUAUGGGGUCAGCUGGGAUCCCAGCACAGUGGCCUGACUGCAGGCCAAGGCUGAAGCGCAAGCGCACGGUAGGUGUAACGCACGUAUACAUAAGCUCAGGAGCUGGUGUAUCCACUCCAGCGAAUUGUUCAUUGGCGUCAAGAUGGAAACUUGUUAUUUCAGUGCAGGAAAUAAAACCGGCCGUUCCCUGCUCCGUUUACACCGGGGACUGUGUCGUUUGUAAAAAUAUCACGAUCAUAAUUUGCUGCACAGCCCUGCGCAUGGGGGUAAGUGCAUGUGGUGGUUCUGGGCACAUUCCCUCCUGCUGGUCCUAUGGCAAUAGUACAUACGUGGAGUGUGCCGUAGAGGGCUCCUGCCGUGAUCACCCACCACGCCUGCACCGUGACCCCUCUUUGACGGCGUUCCAAAGGACUUUCAGGAGUUACUCACAUUAGCCCCCCUUGCUAGGUGCAGGGUCCACCCCAUUUGACCGAAGUCUAGGGAGGGUGAGGGGAGGCGGCUGCCUGGGCAGUCAGUGGCAGAGGUGAGAAUAGAACCCAGGAAUCCUGGCUGCUGGGGCUGGGAGUUAGCCACAAAACUAUCCUUUGUCUACAGGGCAGGGGAGACGAGGGAACAUGGAAGUCCCCCGGGCCCUGGGGAGUUGCGAGAUUGCUGCAUACGUGGGCUGCACUGAGGGCCCCGGGGACAGCCCAGUGCAAGGACAGGGGAUGUUGAUGCUGCUGGCGUUUGUCUAGCGGCCGGACAGCAAUGGCUUCCUGACCCGCAGAGCAACCCAGCCCAUUGAGUUACGGCCAGCUGCUCGGGGAUAAAGCUUGGAGUCUCAGCCGUCCGUCCCCCGUCGCUCCCUUUCAUCCUCCCUUCCCUGGCGCAGCUGGCUCCCAGCUCCCUCCUUCGUUCUCUUCGGAUUAGUACGCCCAGGCUCGCGGUUUAUCUGCACAGCUGGGUCUCGGGGCGGCUUAGCUCGGUCACCAAGCUGCGGGCUGGCAGUGCCCAGUUAAUUGGAAAUCCAAUGGACUUCCCUAGCCACCAAGCCGGAUUAGCCAGGGCUGUGCCUCUGCUAUUGUGUCAGCCGAGCCAGGCAGCCCAAGAGACUCGGGGGGUGGUCGUGGGGAGAGAGGCCAGAAGGGCCUCACUUGAUGCUCUGCACACAGGGAAAUCUGCCCGGGUGGGCAUGGCUGGAGGAG